rnacentral:lncRNA from 1 species
UGUGAGCAGCUUCCUUUCCUUCUGGUGUGGGGCAGGAACUUCUCUGGAAUGGGGAUCUUCUGACCCACAGUCAAACAAGGACAAGAAGAGGGCAGGAAGAAAUUAACUGGAGUGAUAGAGCAAGGCUGACCGUAUUGGACAGAAGUCACAUCAGGGAGACCAGAGACUAGAGUAUUGCAUCAUAGAGGAAAGACACUGAUGACAAGACCUCAGGGGAGCAGUGGAACUGGAGGCCUGGGAGCUUGGGACGUGUUCUCCGGGUGAAGUUGGCU